rnacentral:rRNA from 1 species
CCUACGGGGGGCAGCAGUGGGGAAUAUUGGGCAAUGGAGGCAACUCUGACCCAGCAACGCCGCGUGAAUGAUGAAGGUCUUCGGAUUGUAAAGUUCUUUUGUUAGAGAAGAUAAUGACGGUAUCUAACGAAUAAGCACCGGCUAACUCCGUGCCAGCAGCCGCGGUAAUACGGAGGGUGCAAGCGUUACUCGGAAUCACUGGGCGUAAAGAGCGCGUAGGCGGGAUAGCAAGUCAGAUGUGAAAUCCUAUGGCUUAACCAUAGAACUGCAUUUGAAACUGUUAUUCUAGAGUAUGGGAGAGGUAGGUGGAAUGCUUGGUGUAGGGGUAAAAUCCGUAGAGAUCAAGAGGAAUACUCAUUGCGAAGGCGACCUGCUAGAACAUAACUGACGCUGAUGCGCGAAAGCGUGGGGAGCAAACAGGAUUAGAUACCCCUGUAGUC